rnacentral:rRNA from 1 species
CCUACGGGAGACAGCAGUGAGGAAUAUUGGUCAAUGGGCGCGAGCCUGAACCAGCCAAGUCGCGUGAGGGAAGACGGUCCUAUGGAUUGUAAACCUCUUUUGUCGGGGAGCAAAAGACGCCACGCGUGGCGUUCCGAGAGUACCCGAAGAAAAAGCAUCGGCUAACUCCGUGCCAGCAGCCGCGGUAAUACGGAGGAUGCGAGCGUUAUCCGGAUUUAUUGGGUUAAAAGGGUGCGCAGGCGGAAGAUCAAGUCAGCGGUAAAAUUGAGAGGCUCAACCUCUUCGAGCCGUUGAAACUGGUUGUCUUGAGUGAGCGAGAGGUAUGCGGAAUGCGUGGUGUAGCGGUGAAAUGCAUAGAUAUCACGCAGAACUCCGAUUGCGAAGGCAGCAUACCGGCGCUCAACUGACGCUCAUGCACGAAAGUGUGGGUAUCGAACAGGAUGAGAUACCCGGGUAGUC